GUGGGGAAUAUUGGACAAUGGGCGAAAGCCUGAUCCAGCCAUGCCGCGUGUGUGAAGAAGGUCUUCGGAUUGUAAAGCACUUUAAGUUGGGAGGAAGGGCAGUAAGUUAAUACCUUGCUGUUUUGACGUUACCGACAGAAUAAGCACCGGCUAACUUCGUGCCAGCAGCCGCGGUAAUACGAAGGGUGCAAGCGUUAAUCGGAAUUACUGGGCGUAAAGUGCGCGUAGGUGGUUUUGUAAGGUGGAGGUGAAAUCCCCGGGCUCAACCUUGGAACUGCCUCCAAAACUACAUGACUAGAGUACGGUAGAGGGUAGUGGAAUUUCCUGUGUAGCGGUGAAAUGCGUAGAUAUAGGAAGGAACACCAGUGGCGAAGGCGACUACCUGGACUGAUACUGACACUGAGGUGCGAAAGCGUGGGGAGCAAACAGGAUUAGAUACCCUAGUAGUCC
rnacentral:rRNA from 1 species